AUCGCUUCUCGGCCUUUUGGCUAAGAUCAAGUGUAGUAUCUGUUCUUAUCAGUUUAAUAUCUGAUACGUCCUCUCUCUGGGGACAGUGUAUUAAGCGGAUCUUUGGAGCCGGGAGUGGGGUUAGGAGCUUGCUCCGCCCGCUCCAUGCAUCGACCUGGUAUUGCAGUACUGCCGGGAACGGUGCACCCCCU